rnacentral:rRNA from 1 species
CCUACGGGUGGCAGCAGUGGGGAAUAUUGCACAAUGGGGGAAACCCUGAUGCAGCGACGCCGCGUGAGUGAAGAAGUAAUUCGUUUUGUAAAGCUCUAUCAGCAGGGAAGAAAAUGACGGUACCUGAGUAAGAAGCCCCGGCUAACAACGUGCCAGCAGCCCCGGUAAUACGUAGGGGGCAAGCGCUAUCUGGGUGUACUGGGCGGAAAGCGAGCGUAGACGGCAGUGCAAGUCUGGAGUGAAAGGCGGGGGCUCAACCCCCGGACUGCUCUGGAAACUGUACGGCUGGAGUGCAGGAGAGGGAAGUGGAAUUCCUAGUGUAGCGGGGAAAUGCGUAGAGAUUAGGAGGAACACCAGUGGCGAAGGCGGCUUACUGGACUGUAACUGACGUUGAGGCGCGAAAGCGUGGGGAGCAAACAGGAUUAGAUACCCCAGUAGUC